GGCGGGUGGCGGCGGCGGCGGCGGCCGGGACCCAGCGGGCCAGGUGGGGCCGGCGCGGAGCGGGUGCGGGAGAUGCGGGGCGGGACCGGGGCCACCUGAGCCGCCCGCCUCGUCCUCGCCUUCUGUGGGAAGGAUGUGCGCGCGGAUGGCCGGGCGCGCUGCAGCGGCCCCUCGGGGGCCCUACGGCCCCUGGCUCUGCCUCCUGGUGGCCCUCGCCCUGGACGUCGUGAGAGCCCUGGCCCAGGGCCCAGCCACUUCUCCGGGCCUCCUACCCGCCUUUUGCCACUCAGCAGGUGGUCCCCCCUCGAGUCACUGAGCCCCACCAACGGCCAGUCCCAUGGGACGUGCGGGCCGUUUCAGUGGAAGCGGCUGUGACUCCAGCAGAGCCCCACGCCCGGGUUCUCUUCCACCUCAAAGGCCAGGACUGGCCACCAGGGUCUGGCAGCCUGCCCUGUGCCCGGCUCCAUGCCACACACCCUGCAGGCACUGCUCACCAAGCUUGCCGCUUCCA
rnacentral:sRNA from 1 species